CCUACGGGAGGCAGCAGUGAGGAAUAUUGGUCAAUGGCCGGAAGGCUGAACCAGCCAUGCCGCGUGAAGGUCAGUGCCCUAUGGGCGUUAAACUUCUUUUGUGCGGGAGCAAUAAUGGUCACGUGUGGCCAGACGAGAGUACCGUACGAAUAAGCAUCGGCUAACUACGUGCCAGCAGCCGCGGUAAUACGGGGGGUGCAAGCGUUAUCCGGAUUUAUUGGGUUUAAAGGGUGCGUAGGCUGUGAGGUAAGUCAGCGGUGAAAUGCCCCCGCUCAACGGGGUGAAGUGCCAUUGAUACUGCCGUGCUGGAAUGCGGAUGCCGUGGGAGGAAUGUGUGGUGUAGCGGUGAAAUGCAUAGAUAUCACACAGAACACCGAGUGCGAAGGCAUCUCACGAAUCCGCGAUUGACGCUGAUGCACGAAAGCGUGGGUAUCAAACAGGAUUAGAUACCCGAGUAGUC
rnacentral:rRNA from 1 species